CAAUGGAUUAUUCCGCUUUAAGAUGGGCCCGCGCCUGAUUAGCUAGUUGGUGAGAUAAAAGCUCACCAAGGCGACGAUCAGUAGCCGAUCUGAGAGGAUGACCGGCCACACUGGAACUGAGACACGGUCCAGACUCCUACGGGAGGCAGCAGUGGGGAAUAUUGCACAAUGGGGGAAACCCUGAUGCAGCAACGCCGCGUGGAGGACGAAGGUUUUCGGAUUGUAAACUCCUGUCAUUUGGGAAGAUAAUGACGGUACCAAAUGAGGAAGCCACGGCUAACUACGUGCCAGCAGCCGCGGUAAUACGGAGGAUCCUAGUGUUAUCCGGAUUUAUUGGGUUUAAAGGGAGCGUAGGCGGGAGGUCAAGUCAGCUGUGAAAUGUAUCUGCUUAACGGGUACACUGCAGUUGAAACUGGUUUUCUUGAGUGCGUAAGAGGCAGGCGGAAUUCGUUGUGUAGCGGUGAAAUGCUUAGAUAUGACGAGGAACUCCUAUUGCGAAGGCAGCUUGCUGGGUCGUUACUGACGCUGAUGCUCGAAGGUGCGGGGAUCAAACAGGAUUAGAUACCCUGGUAGUCCGCACAGUAAACUAUGGAUACUCUCUGCCGGCGAUACAUUGUCGGUGGCCAAGCGAAAGCGUUAAGUAUCCCACCUGGGGAGUACGUUCGCAAGAAUGAAACUCAAAGGAAUUGACGGGGGCCCGCACAAGCGGAGGAACAUGUGGUUUAAUUCGAUGAUACGCGAGGAACCUUACCCGGGUCUGAAUUGCUGAUGGCGAUAAUUGGAGACAGUUAUUUCCCUUCGGGGCGUCAGUGAAGGUGCUGCAUGGUUGUCGUCAGCUCGUGCCGUGAGGUGUCGGCUUAAGUGCCAUAACGAGCGCAACCCUCGCCGUUAGUUGCCAGCAUUCAGUUGGGCACUCUAGCGAGACUGCCGGUGAUAAACCGGAGGAAGGUGGGGAGGACGUCAAAUCAUCAUGCCCCCUAUGAGCUGGGCUACACACGCGCUACAAUGGACGGUACAACGAGUUGCGACCCCGCAAGGGUGAGCGAAUCUUAAUAAGCCGUUCUCAGUUCGGAUUGUUCUCUGCAACUCGAGAGCAUGAAGCCGGAAUCGCUAGUAAUCGCGGAUCAGAAUGCCGCGGUGAAUAAGGUCCCGGGUCUUGCACACACCGCCCGUC
rnacentral:rRNA from 1 species